rnacentral:rRNA from 1 species
GAUGAACGUUGGCGGCGUGCCUAAUACAUGCAAGUCGAGCGAACAGAUAAGGAGCUUGCUCCUUUGACGUUAGCGGCGGACGGGUGAGUAACACGUGGGUAACCUACCUAUAAGACUGGAAUAACUCCGGGAAACCGGGGCUAAUGCCGGAUAACAUUUAGAACCGCAUGGUUCUAAAGUGAAAGAUGGUUUUGCUAUCACUUAUAGAUGGACCCGCGCCGUAUUAGCUAGUUGGUAAGGUAACGGCUUACCAAGGCAACGAUACGUAGCCGACCUGAGAGGGUGAUCGGCCACACUGGAACUGAGACACGGUCCAGACUCCUACGGGAGGCAGCAGUAGGGAAUCUUCCGCAAUGGGCGAAAGCCUGACGGAGCAACGCCGCGUGAGUGAUGAAGGUCUUCGGAUCGUAAAACUCUGUUAUUAGGGAAGAACAAAUGUGUAAGUAACUGUGCACGUCUUGACGGUACCCAAUCAGAAAGCCACGGCUAACUACGUG